rnacentral:rRNA from 1 species
UGCUUAACACAUGCAAGUCGAACGGCAGCAUGAACUGUAGCAAUACAGUUUGAUGGCGAGUGGCGGACGGGUGAGUAACACGUAGGAAUCUACCCUAAAGCGGGGGACAACCCGAGGAAACUCGGGCUAAUACCGCAUAAUCUCUACGGAGAAAAGCUGGGGCAACCUGGCACUUUAGGAGGAGCCUGCGUCUGAUUAGCUAGUUGGUGGGGUAAAGGCCUACCAAGGCGACGAUCAGUAGCUGGUCUGAGAGGAUGAUCAGCCACACUGGGACUGAGACACGGCCCAGACUCCUACGGGAGGCAGCAGUGGGGAAUAUUGGACAAUGGGGGCAACCCUGAUCCAGCAAUGCCGCGUGUGUGAAGAAGGCCUUCGGGUUGUAAAGCUC